AAAUCAGAUAAUAUCAAAAAAGAAAUCCCACCUUCAAAUCUUUGUGGAUCAAAUAAUUUAACAAUCAACGGGAGAAAACUUGAUGAUUUCUGUUUCCUGCCGCAUUCUGCAUCAGAAAUUGUUCAGAGCUUUCCAUGAAGCAAACAAAACCCUGGGAUGGCUCAUCGCUGAGUUGAGGUAAAGUUUCUUUCUCUUUGAUUUUGUGAAAUCUUACCCUUUUUCCUUCAUUACCCAUUACUCAAGUUCACUAUUUUUGUAAGAAAUAGCUAUUCAAAGUAAGUUUUAGGGAGAAAAGAAGGAAUAAUAUACCACAAACUGAGAGAAGAUGAACAGCUGAAGUAUGAAGGUAGAGUGAAUAGCAUAGGAAUUUACUUCAAAUCAUUAUCACAAUAGCAAGAAUCGUACAAACUCACCUUCAAAUCAUGUCCACAUUAUAUAUUUAAUAAUACAAUUGUCAGUUUUGUA